UACGAAGGGAGCUAGCGUUGUUCGGAAUUACUGGGCGUAAAGCGCACGUAGGCGGAUCGAUCAGUCAGGGGGUGAAAAUCCCAGAGCUCAACUCUGGAACUGCCUUUUGAUACUGUCGAUCUAGAGUAUGGAAGAGGUGAGUGGAAUUCCGAGUGUAGAGGUGAAAAUUCGUAGAUAUUCGGAGGAACACCAGUGGCGAAGGCGGCUCACUGGUCCAUUACUGACGCUGAGGUGCGAAAGCGUGGGGAGCAAACAGG
rnacentral:rRNA from 1 species